UGCCAGCCUCCGCGGUACUACUGAUUGUGCGAGCGUUAAUCGGAAUCACUGGGCGUAAAGCGUGCGUAGGCGGCGCAUCAAGUCAGACGUGAAAGCCCUCGGCUCAACCGAGGAAUUGCGUUUGAAACUGAUGUGCUAGAGUCUCGGAGAGGUUAGGGGGAUUCCAGGUGUAGGAGUGAAAUCCGUACAUAUCUGGAGGAACACCGGUGGCGAAGGCGCCUAACUGGACGAGUACUGACGCUGAGGUACGAAAGCGUGGGGAGCAAACAGGAUUAGAUA
rnacentral:rRNA from 1 species